CAUGAGUAUUUAGUGAAUUUUUUAAAUCCGAAAACAUGGUUAUAGUCACGCUUAAUAGUGUUUCAAACGCGUAUUGUGGUUUAACAGGUAGCCAUUGCUAUGCACUAUGAAUCGUUAACAUAAGUGGGUGCCCCCUGCCAGCGCUGAGGAAAAAUUGUGGCUCCCUUCAUCAACACCCAUCAUCACCCUUGCGCCAUGGUGGCUUGGAGAGAACAUACUUUGCAAGUCUUCAGCAGAGGUAUCCGUAGCAGCAAGAUGGAGGCGACAUGUGCCAGCGUCCUGUGCGGUGAGGCGCGACCCAAUUUGCAAUUUUUAGACCU